GCGAGUGGAUUGCGGUUUUAAGGGUCACGAGAGGAACGCAUCAAUUUUCAUUGGAUUUCCUCUCCAAAUGGCUCGAAAGCAGUUUGAGGGAAACCUCACGUGGGUUCGAAUCCCACCCGCUGCGCCA
rnacentral:tRNA from 1 species